UAUGCUCAGACUUCUUCUGGGCUCAUACUUCUUCUGAGUCACCUUUGAUUAUGAUUAUUGGGUUGAAUUGGUUUGCCAAAUUUUCACGGAAAGUUUGUUUCUUUUUGGAAUCUGGAUUUUGGGUUUUACUGGGUUGGAUGAGUUUUUGAUGGUAGCUGCAUCUUUGUAUUAUUUUUCAGAUUGAUGAUUAGUUUUCAAAUUUCAAUUAUCUUCCCUGUGAUGGUAUUAUGAUGUUCGGCAAUAUAUAGAUUGAUUGUGAAGCUAUACAUUCUCACCUUGCAUAUAUUUGAAUUUGAAUAUUAAUUCCAAGAGGUGGGCUGAUCAUGAUCUAGAUAAAUCAACACCUUUGUAAACAUUCACAGUAGCCGACAAGAAAAGAAGCUUGAUGAGGUGCCGACAUAGAAAAGCAAAAAAAAAGAAGAAAAGCUUGGCGGUGGUUUUCUAAUCAAGUUUGAAAACUUGGUGAUGAUAUGCUCCCUAAGGAAUCAAUUCCCACUAAGUUUUCGUAAUCUGUAUGUGUCAUAUAUAGGCAGUUAGUUAUUCCAUUCUAAUGAGAAAAUGUUUGAUUCACCAUUGCAUUCCAACCUCUUUUAUGCCACCGCUGUGGACGAUUUGUAGAAGCCAACUUUCUGCAUAGUUGUAGGCAUCAAGACCCAUUCUUUUAUUCUCCUACUGUGGUAUAAUGGUGCAGAAGGCCUCCACACGAAAGUGACCAAGUUUGUCAGGGACAAAGACUGUGUUGUAUGUGGCCCAGGUGUGCUUAUUGAGCUGGACAACUCAGUUACUUUGCAAAAGUUGUCAUUAGAUGUUAACGGUUGUGAACCCCGCUGAAGAAGUUGUGCAUUUCAUGAAUCCAUUGAAGAGACGACUUAUCACCGGUGAAUGGAAAACUAUUGUGGACAACUCAAUCAAACUAUGCAAUGAGCAAAAAACUAAGAAAGGCAGAAAAAUAGUUACAUGAAAAAAUUGUGCGGGCAUUCUGGAGCAGCAAGGUGAUAAAACCUGUGGGUUUUGGAUUAUGCAUUACAUGAAGGACAUAGUGGAGGACAAGAACCAAGAGUGGAGUGCUAAGUGGGACAGAAAGGGAAGCAACAUGUACACACAAAAUGAUAUUGAUAAGGUUCGGGCCGAGUGGGCACCAAAUGGUGCCCAAUUUCAAGAAAGCUAGUGCCUAACUCUUAUAUAUAUCUGCUUUUGGACAUGCAUCACAUAUAUAACCCAGAUCAGGAAGCUAUAGGUACUAGUUUUUUGCUUUACAUGCUCGAUACUGUAAUGUUUGUUGCGUUGCCUUUAUCGAUCAUGUCUUUUGUUUCAUGGAUGGGGUUGUAUUGAACUGAUCCAUAGCAGGUUGUGUAAUAUACUGAAUGAUUUGCCAGUUUGAUGAAAUGGCAUUUUCUGGAUUUCCAGAUUACCUAAUGAACAGUACAAAAUGAUUUUUCUGA